rnacentral:rRNA from 1 species
AUGAACGCUGGCGGCGUGCCUCAUACAUGCCAGUCGAGCGAACAGACGAGGAGCUUGCUCCUCUGACGUUAGCGGCGGACGGGUGAGUAACACGUGGAUAACCUACCUAUAAGACUGGGAUAACUUCGGGAAACCGGAGCUAAUACCGGAUAAUAUAUUGAACCGUAUGGUUCAAUAGUGAAAGACGGUUUUGCUGUCACUUAUAGAUGGAUCCGCGCCGCAUUAGCUAGUUGGUAAGGUAACGGCUUACCAAGGCAACGAUGCGUAGCCGACCUGAGAGGGUGAUCGGCCACACUGGAACUGAGACACGGUCCAGACUCCUACGGGAGGCAGCAGUAGGGAAUCUUCCGCAAUGGGCGAAAGCCUGACGGAGCAACGCCGCGUGAGUGAUGAAGGUCUUCGGAUCGUAAAACUCUGUUAUUAGGGAAGGACAAAUGUGUAAGUAACUAUGCACGUCUUGACGGUACCUAAUCAGAAAGCCACGGCUAACUACGUG